CCUGGUUGAUCCUGCCAGUAGUCAUAUGCUUGUCUCAAAGAUUAAGCCAUGCAUGUGUAAGUACAGGCCGACUUAAGGCGAAACCGCGGACGGCUCAUUAAAUCAGAUAUAACUCAUUGGAUCUCUGCUGAACCGCAUUACUUGGAUAACUGUGGUAAUUCUAGAGCUAAUACAUGCCUUUGUAGUCUCCGACCGCGAGGGAGGAGCGCUUUUAUUAGACCAAAACCCUCGGCAGCCGGUUCCCGCAAGGGGCCGGCCGCACACAUCUUGGUGAAUCAGAAUAACUUUUGCCGAGCGCACGACCCCUCCCGUAACCCGGGUUGGGUCGGCGCCGCGUCCUGCAGGCGUCUGCCUUAUCAGCUCUCGAUUGUAGGUUAAACGCCUACAAUGGCUAUCACGGGUAACGGGGAAUCAGGGUUCGAUUCCGGAGAGGGAGCCUGAGAAACGGCUACCACAUCUAAGGAAGGCAGCAGGCGCGCAAAUUACCCACUCCCGGCACGGGGAGGUAGUGACGAAAAAAUACUGUUGCGAGCCCCGAACGGGGCCUCGCAAUUGGAAUGAGUACACUUUAAAUCCUUGUACGAGGAUCGAGUGGAGGGCAAGUCUGGUGCCAGCAUCUGUAGUAGCCACACCCCCUACAGCGGCAUCAGCAGGAGUAUCUGCUGCGACGGCUGGACUCCCCUCUCCAGCAACCACACCCGUUCUAUCACCUACUGCUGCCAUCACCGCUGCCACCACAUACAGCCCUUCCAUGCUACCUGCCCGCAAACGCCCCCGCAGAACAUAUUCUACAGGGGACUCUUCCACAGGGUUAGGUUGCAACACAUCAGCUGCACCACAUUACCUCUUGCACGAACUUCCUGAUGAGGUGCUAAUUACUAUAUUAUCCUACCUGUAUGAGAGAGACCUCUGUCGAGUAGCACAAG
rnacentral:rRNA from 1 species